ensembl:lncRNA
ACAGAAGUGAUCCCUGCCUCAACCUACUGCUGACCUGCUUCAGGGCCCAAAUUUGCACAUAACUCUGAGCUUUAGUACUCAUCUAGUUUGUCCUUGCUUCCAGAGUGCAAGAGUGCAGCCAGAAAUCUGUGAUGAGUGUACAAAAAACUCCACUACUGAAUAGAGAGGCAAGGAGAAGCGAAGCGAAGCGAAGCGAAGCGAAGCGAAGAGAAGAGAAGAGAAGAGAAGAGAAGAGAAGAGAAGAGAAGAGAAGAGAAGAGAAGAGAAGAGAAGAGAAGAGAAGAGAAGAGAAGAGAAGAGAAGAGAAGAGAAGAGAAGAGAAGAGAAGAGAAGAGAAGAGAAGAGAAGAGAAGAGAAGAGAAGUAGGCCAAUACCCGAAUUUUCUAUAGUGAAGAAUGUAUCAGCAGUUACCAGAGUGACUGACUACUAUCUUCUGUCAGGAGAGCGUUCAAGGACAUUUUGACUUCCUCUCCAAGUGCCCAGGGUGCAGGGAUUCCCUCAUGUCUUCAGGUUGAGACCUGAAACAGCUCUAUAAAAAACAGUCCUGUUGGGAGGUGGCUUUGACAAUUGGACUGACAACUGUCCACUGGGAAGUGACUGGGAUGUCAAAGCUGUUGUGUAAAGGGUGACAAAGAGUUGUCAGAUAAAAACUAUUUUUUAUCACUAUACAUACAUUUCUUACAGUUUAUACAAUAUUUCUGAUGCUAAAUAUUGUACAGUUGUGAAAUAUUGUAUACUUGUAGAAUUUGUAAGUGGGAAAAAAGUUAUUUUUCUUUCAUAUUUCCUUUGCCAGAGCAUCCUUCCUGUACUCUUUUCUUACACCUCCAUGUCUUGCAACAGUUAUUAAAAAGUUGAGUAACUAGCACUGAAAAAAAAUGAAACAAAUUCAUACCUAAUGCUACAUCUAUGUUACAGGAUUUAUGUCUGGGACAGAUUUAGCCCUCCUGUUUAAAGUUUUUAUUUAGAAUUUUCAAAACAGAAGUAUUAUAACAGCCUCCAUGCCAUUUAGAAAGUUUUGGAAGUAAAGCUGCAAGUCCUUGGAAAAUCUGCUUUACCUAAACAACUCUUUUCAGUGAGGAAGUUGUUUCUGAGACUAAAAACAAAAGUGUGAAUGAAGAAUCAUUGCACUGAGAUGUAUCACUGAAGUCACCAUUUUUUAAUCUGCUUCAAACCUUAAGAAGAAUUUUAAGUGGUGCCUCCCUGAAAAAUAAAAUAACUGAUGAUGCAACAUCUAUCACUCAUUGCUGUAAUAGUUUUAAAAAUAAAUAAAUAAGAAAAUAUCUGUCAGAGCUAUGAGGAAAAUGAGCUAUGAGCUAUGCUGCAAAGUAAUUUUCCAUUUGCUUUCUACCCAAACAGGAUUCUGGUGUUUUUCCAAUAAAGGUUAAUUUAAAUGUUCUAUAAAUCAAAGAAUCACAGAAUUGUAGGGAUUGGAAGGGACCUCUGGGGAUCAUCAAGUCUAACCCCUUGCUAAAGCAGGUUCCCUACAGCAGGUCUCACAGAUAGGCAUCCAGACAGGUCUUGUAUAUCUCCAGAGAAAGAGACUCCACAAAUAUGGCGAUUUAAUACUAUGCAAGUCCCUCUGCUAUCUGGAAAGUUUGAAGGCUACCAAUGGAACUUGAUAAUUAAAACUGUUUCAUCUAGCAGACACAUUUUAUAAUACAUAACAACUGAAGGCCUGUCCUGGUUAAGCAGUUUAGCCAUUUGAACUGAUCGAUCCACUAUGAGACUUAUGUGUUACGAAGAACUCUGCUGUUAAUUAAAAUUUUCCAUGUAUUGAUUGUGGAGCAUGGUCUCCUAUUUUGUGUUAGUGGCAGCCAAAACCUGGGGCAGCAGCACAUUAAAAUGGGAGUCAGUAACAGGAAGGUCACAGACAGGGAUUCAUCAGAAACUAUGUGUGCUGUUAGAGUAUGACCACAUAUGCAGAAUGCUGAUUCUACAAAGCCUGAGUUUAAGCUGAUUUAGCUCCUUCUUUUCUACUCUUUGUUGACCCAUCACAAGGCUUUCUCACCCAGGAUUAGACCUAAUCCAUCUGUGACAUCAUCCUUUACAGUGAGUAAUGUAUAAAAUAAGGACAGGACUGGACACCAGUCACAAUAAGCUCCACAGAUUUGAGAGUUGUAUCAUACAUAAAAUUGUUCUUUCCAGUCUGUCAUAAAGUAUCAGUUUUGUGUUUUCUUUUUCUAAUUUCUACAUGAUAGCUCAAUGUAAUUUAUUCUAAUUUGGCAUUUUUUUAUAUAUAUAAAGCAAUAUAUAGCAAUAUAUAGCA